rnacentral:rRNA from 1 species
AAACCUACGGGGGGCAGCAGUGGGGAAUAUUGCACAAUGGGGGAAACCCUGAUGCAGCAACGCCGCGUGAGUGAAGAAGUAUUUCGGUAUGUAAAGCUCUAUCAGCAGGGAAGAAAAUGACGGUACCUGACUAAGAAGCCCCGGCUAACUACGUGCCAGCAGCCGCGGUAAUACGUAGGGGGCAAGCGUUAUCCGGAUUUACUGGGUGUAAAGGGAGCGUAGGCGGUGCAGCAAGUCUGAUGUGAAAGGUCGGGGCCCAACCCCGGGACUGCAUUGGAAAAUGUUGAACUGGAGUACAGGAGGGG